UGCCAACCAACGGCGGUAAUACUUAGGGUCCGAGCGUUGUCCGGAAUUACUGGGCGUAAAGAGCUCGUAGGUGGUUUGUCGCGUUGUUCGUGAAAACUCACAGCUUAACUGUGGGCGUGCGGGCGAUACGGGCAGACUAGAGUACUGCAGGGGAGACUGGAAUUCCUGGUGUAGCGGUGGAAUGCGCAGAUAUCAGGAGGAACACCGGUGGCGAAGGCGGGUCUCUGGGCAGUAACUGACGCUGAGGAGCGAAAGCGUGGGGAGCGAACAGGAUUAGAUACCCUGGUAGUCCACGCCGUAAACGGUGGGUACUAGGUGUGGGUUUCCUUCCUUGGGAUCCGUGCCGUAGCUAACGCAUUAAGUACCCCGCCUGGGGAGUACGGCCGCAAGGCUAAAACUCAAAGGAAUUGACGGGGGCCCGCACAAGCGGCGGAGCAUGUGGAUUAAUUCGAUGCAACGCGAAGAACCUUACCUGGGUUUGACAUGCACAGGACGACUGCAGAGAUGUGGUUUCCCUUGUGGCCUGUGUGCAGGUGGUGCAUGGCUGUCGUCAGCUC
rnacentral:rRNA from 1 species